rnacentral:rRNA from 1 species
AUUGAACGCUGGCGGCAGGCCUAACACAUGCAAGUCGAACGAGUGGCGGAAGGGUGAGUAAUGUCUGGGAAACUGCCUGAUGGAGGGGGAUAACUACUGGAAACGGUAGCUAAUACCGCAUAACAUCAGCUGUGCCCAUAUGGGAUUAGCUAGUUGGUGGUGUAACGGCUCACCAAGACGAAGAUCCCUAGCUGGUCUGAGAGGAGGAACAGCCACACUGGAACUGAGACACGGCCCAGACUCCUACGGUAGGCAGCAGUGGGGAAUAUUGCACAAUGGGCGCAAGCCUGAUGCAGCCAGGCCGCGUGUAUGAAGAAGGCCUUCGGGUUGUAAAGUACUUUCAGCGGGGAGGCGUUACCCGCAGAAGAAGCACCGGCUAACUCCGUGCCAGCAGCCGCGGUAAUAC